rnacentral:rRNA from 1 species
GACGAACGCUGGCGGCGUGCCUAAUACAUGCAAGUAGAACGCUGAAGAGAGGAGCUUGCUCUUCUUGGAUGAGUUGCGAACGGGUGAGUAACGCGUAGGUAACCUGCCUUGUAGCGGGGGAUAACUAUUGGAAACGAUAGCUAAUACCGCAUAACAAUGGAUGACCCAUGUCAUUUAUUUGAAAGGGGCAAAUGCUCCACUACAAGAUGGACCUGCGUUGUAUUAGCUAGUAGGUGAGGUAACGGCUCACCUAGGCGACGAUACAUAGCCGACCUGAGAGGGUGAUCGGCCACACUGGGACUGAGACACGGCCCAGACUCCUACGGGAGGCAGCAGUAGGGAAUCUUCGGCAAUGGGGGCAACCCUGACCGAGCAACGCCGCGUGAGUGAAGAAGGUUUUCGGAUCGUAAAGCUCUGUUGUAAGUCAAGAACGAGUGUGAGAGUGGAAAGUUCACACUGUGACGGUAGCUUACCAGAAAGGGACGGCUAACUACGUGCCAGCAGCCGCGGUAAUACGUAGGUCCCGAGCGUUGUCCGGAUUUAUUGGGCGUAAAGCGAGCGCAGGCGGUUUGAUAAGUCUGAAGUUAAAGGCUGUGGCUCAACCAUAGUUCGCUUUGGAAACUGUCAAACUUGAGUGCAGAAGGGGAGAGUGGAAUUCCAUGUGUAGCGGUGAAAUGCGUAGAUAUAUGGAGGAACACCUGUGGCGAAAGCGGCUCUCUGGUCUGUAACUGACGCUGAGGCUCGAAAGCGUGGGGAGCGAACAGGAUUAGAUACCCUGGUAGUCCACGCCGUAAACGAUGAGUGCUAGGUGUUGGAUCCUUUCCGGGAUUCAGUGCCGCAGCUAACGCAUUAAGCACUCCGCCUGGGGAGUACGACCGCAAGGUUGAAACUCAAAGGAAUUGACGGGGGCCCGCACAAGCGGUGGAGCAUGUGGUUUAAUUCGAAGCAACGCGAAGAACCUUACCAGGUCUUGACAUCCCGAUGCUAUUUCUAGAGAUAGAAAGUUACUUCGGUACAUCGGUGACAGGUGGUGCAUGGUUGUCGUCAGCUCGUGUCGUGAGAUGUUGGGUUAAGUCCCGCAACGAGCGCAACCCCUAUUGUUAGUUGCCAUCAUUCAGUUGGGCACUCUAGCGAGACUGCCGGUAAUAAACCGGAGGAAGGUGGGGAUGACGUCAAAUCAUCAUGCCCCUUAUGACCUGGGCUACACACGUGCUACAAUGGUUGGUACAACGAGUUGCGAGUCGGUGACGGCAAGCUAAUCUCUUAAAGCCAAUCUCAGUUCGGAUUGUAGGCUGCAACUCGCCUACAUGAAGUCGGAAUCGCUAGUAAUCGCGGAUCAGCACGCCGCGGUGAAUACGUUCCCGGGCCU